AAUAGCACACUGAUGUAAUACUCAUACAGAUUAAUGUAAUAAUUCAAGGGUUGCUUUUUCAUAACUUGUAAUGUUCCUAAGACUAACACUAUUCUUGACCAUACUGAAUACUGCAUAUAAGUGAUGAAAAGGUUAAUUUGCAACUUAACCAUAAUAUUACUUUACACUAUAUUCUAUUAGCUUUCAACAGUAUUCUACUAUAUAGAAAAACAAUAACAACAAUAAUAUUGAAAAUAUUAGCAAUGUACUACUACUACUACUACUACUACUAGUAAAAUCCCUCUCAUCCGGCAUUCAAGUAUUCAGCAGCUUCAAGUAUCCGGCACCUUUUUCCCCGAGCCUUAAAAUCAAUAAAAAAUCAAUGUGUCCUCAUAAAAUUGAUUAAAAUUCCCGUGCGAGGCAUACUUUGUCCCCUCGCCACCAGAGCGCACUCCUUCACGCCACUCGCGGCCCACUGCACUGUGUUUACUCAGUGACUCAGUCCCGCGUGUGCACUGUUCAUUGCCUGACCCCUUCUUCAUGCCUAAAGUUGUAGAAAAGAGGAAGCGUGUUGUGCUUACACUUAAGCAGCUGAUCAGAUCAGCUGCUGAUUAAGAUCAGCUGAUCUUUGUUAUGGUCCCACAGGUCCACCCCUGCACCACUAAAGCUGGUAAAUAGGACUGAGUAUAAAGAGAUACCUGACUGCUGCUGGAGCUGGAGGUGUUGAUGAUGGGUGUGUGUGAAUAGUCCACAUCAUUGAUGGAGCAACACUGGAACACCAUCUGAUUUUCAGUCAAUGUUCCGGUCUUAUCAGUGAACACGUACUCAAUCUGACCCAACUCUUCAGGGAUGUUCAGGGCUCGGCAUUCUGAAAUUACAGCAGGAUUUUACUCUUCCCUCCGCAAACAGUAAUGUCAAUCCCAGUGCUGCUUUUAUCCUUCCCAGCAGCACCACUUAAAACUUUGAUAGAUAACCUCUCUAUGAUAUUCAGAGAGUAAAGGGUGGCUAGCUGCAGCUCUCCUGUGACUAUACCCAUGAGUGCAACUGUAUAAAUUACUUGCUUGGAAAUACAGAUUUUUUAUGGUAUUUUUAAAGUUUGUUUUAAUAAGUAAUUGCUACUAAUUUUAACAUCAUUUCUUCCAAGUAACACAUCUUGGAAUGUUUCAUAAAUUGGCUACAUAUUUAUUUCUACCUCUGUUUACUUACCUAUGGUUUUGCCACUUUUCUUGUCCUUGAAGUCUUUAUCUUGAUGGAUGUGGUACACUUGCAUGAGUUUGAUGACUUCUAUGGUAACAUACAGUGAGAUGGGGAUGAUCACCUGUCAAAGGAAUUCUCUUCUAGGUAAGGUAAUUCUGUUAUCACUUACAGAUGAUACAACUCUUGCUACAGAUAGCAAGGAAAAAAUGCAGCAAAAUCUUGUUUAAGGAGAAUAUGUGGCAGACAAAGAAAGAAACUGGCAGAGUCCAUUGAGCACUGAUCUUCUACAUUUAAAUUGGAGUAAUGUUCAGUACAUGAAUGAAAUGCUAAAUUAAGAAAAAUCUAAAUUUCCAAUGCUAAAGAUUUAGGUGUCCAAGGGAAUGUAGUUCUUCAUUGAACCUCAGCCAAUAUUUUGUGAUUUAAUGGAAGAAAUGGAAUAAAAAUAUGCUUUAAUGAGAGAUUCAUUUAAGGUGUAUUUCAAUGGGGAUGUGGUGAACCAUUUGAAUACUUCUACCCACCUUACCAUUUGACACAGUCCAUAUAUGAUUUUCAUCACAUUUUUUUUUUUUUUCAAGUAAUUCUGUAACUGAGGCAGUCUUACCUGAUAAAUGAUAAUGAAAGUCCAGAAGCUGAUGAAGCCCACCCAGACAGGACUGUUGAGCUGACGGGGUGGGGGCAGUGGGGUACCACUCGCCUGAGGCAGCAGGAAUGGCACUAGUCCCUGUGAGAUGUUCACUUCAAACUGACUCUGUUGAACCCCACCCACACCACGCUGAGCUUGGUAAGGAAUGGUGAAGCACCUGCCAGAGUCCAGAGCCUGUGGCAGAGAUGAGGCACAUGAAGAAGAGGAUCACAACACACCAUAUCACUUCUAGGUUCAUCCUCCGUUCUAACCGUGAUCGUUUGUAUCUUGUUCCUCCAUUAUUUAGCAUGGCUUUGGUCUCCCGACCUGUCAAAAGUUAUUAUUAAUGGUUAUGUAUGUAAUCCGAUGUUACCUACUAAAUAUCAAGUCUGUGUAUACACCAGGUUGACAUCCCCAGCAAAGGGAAGAAGCCCACAUGCAAAUGGUCAAAUACUCUCUCUCUCUCUCUCAUCUGUAAGACAUAAUAUACCCAGAUCAGUGCCCAACAACAAAA